rnacentral:rRNA from 1 species
GAUGAACGCUGGCGGCGUGCCUAAUACAUGCAAGUCGAGCGAACAGACGAGGAGCUUGCUCCUUUGACGUUAGCGGCGGACGGGUGAGUAACACGUAGGUAACCUACCUAUAAGACUGGGAUAACUUCGGGAAACCGGAGCUAAUACCGGAUAAUAUUUCGAACCGCAUGGUUCGAUAGUGAAAGAUGGCUUUGCUAUCACUUAUAGAUGGACCUGCGCCGUAUUAGCUAGUUGGUAAGGUAACGGCUUACCAAGGCAACGAUACGUAGCCGACCUGAGAGGGUGAUCGGCCACACUGGAACUGAGACACGGUCCAGACUCCUACGGGAGGCAGCAGUAGGGAAUCUUCCGCAAUGGGCGAAAGCCUGACGGAGCAACGCCGCGUGAGUGAUGAAGGUCUUCGGAUCGUAAAACUCUGUUAUUAGGUAAGAACAAACGUGUAAGUAACUGUGCACGUCUUGACGGUACCUAAUCAGAAAGCCACGGCUAACUACGUG